GAUGAACGCUAGCGGCAGGCUUAACACAUGCAAGUCGAGGGGCAGCACGAUGUAGCAAUACAUGGGUGGCGACCGGCGCACGGGUGCGUAACACAUAUGGAAUCUGCCCUUUACUGGGGAAUAGCCCUCCGAAAGGAGGAUUAAUGCCCCAUAACAAGCGGGACGGCAUCGUCCUGCUUUGAAAGCUCCGGCGGUAAAGGAUGACCAUGCGCACGAUUAGCUAGUUGGUGAGGUAACGGCUUACCAAGGCUACGAUCGUUAGGGGGCCUGAGAGGGGUAUCCCCCACACUGGUACUGAGACACGGACCAGACUCCUACGGGAGGCAGCAGUGAGGAAUAUUGCGCAAUGGAGGCAACUCUGACGCAGCCAUGCCGCGUGCAGGAAGAAGGCGCUACGCGUUGUAAACUGCUUUUAACCGGGAAGAAACCCCAGGACGUGUCCUGGGUUGACGGUACCGGAGGAAUAAGCACCGGCUAACUCCGUGCCAGCCGCCGCAGUAAGAC
rnacentral:rRNA from 1 species